rnacentral:rRNA from 1 species
UUCCGGUUGCUUAAUGUCUGGGGAUCUGCCCUAGUGAGGGGAAUAACCACUGGAAACGGUGGCUAAUGCCGCAUAACGUCGCAAGACCAAAGUGGGGGACUUUCGGGCCUCACGCACUAGGAUGAACCCAGAUGAGAUUAGCUAGUUGGUGAGGUAACGGCUCACCAAGGUGACGAUCUCUAGCUGGUCUGAGAGGAUGAUCAGCCACACUGGGACUGAGACACGGCCCAGACUACUAAGGGAGGCAGCA